rnacentral:rRNA from 1 species
AAUGGGUCAGCGACUUAUAUUCUGUAGCAAGGUUAACCGAAUAGGGGAGCCGAAGGGAAACCGAGUCUUAACUGGGCGUUAAGUUGCAGGGUAUAGACCCGAAACCCGGUGAUCUAGCCAUGGGCAGGUUGAAGGUUGGGUAACACUAACUGGAGGACCGAACCGACUAAUGUUGAAAAAUUAGCGGAUGACUUGUGGCUGGGGGUGAAAGGCCAAUCAAACCGGGAGAUAGCUGGUUCUCCCCGAAAGCUAUUUAGGUAGCGCCUCGUGAAUUCAUCUCCGGGGGUAGAGCACUGUUUCGGCAAGGGGGUCAUCCCGACUUACCAACCCGAUGCAAACUGCGAAUACCGGAGAAUGUUAUCACGGGAGACACACGGCGGGUGCUAACGUCCGUCGUGAAGAGGGAAACAACCCAGACCGCCAGCUAAGGUCCCAAAGUCAUGGUUAAGUGGGAAACGAUGUGGGAAGGCCCAGACAGCCAGGAUGUUGGCUUAGAAGCAGCCAUCAUUUAAAGAAAGCGUAAUAGCUCACUGGUCGAGUCGGCCUGCGCGGAAGAUGUAACGGGGCUAAACCAUGCACCGAAGCUGCGGCAGCGACACUAUGUGUUGUUGGGUAGGGGAGCGUUCUGUAAGCCUGUGAAGGUGGCCUGUGAGGGUUGCUGGAGGUAUCAGAAGUGCGAAUGCUGACAUAAGUAACGAUAAAGCGGGUGAAAAGCCCGCUCGCCGGAAGACCAAGGGUUCCUGUCCAACGUUAAUCGGGGCAGGGUGAGUCGACCCCUAAGGCGAGGCCGAAAGGCGUAGUCGAUGGGAAACAGGUUAAUAUUCCUGUACUUGGUGU